GUGCUUCGUGUGGCCGCACAUACAUGACAAUUGGAACAAUAUGGAGAAGAUGAGCCAGUCUCUGCGAAAGGAUGACACACAGAUUCGUGGUGUUCAAAAAAUAGAC
ensembl:snRNA U6 U6 spliceosomal RNA